UUUGGCAUAAUUUUUAUUGAUCAAGCUACGUGCUAAACUUAACCAGGCCGCACUUCCUCGAAGAGUGGGCCUGGUAUCGACUGCUUGCGCAUGCGCUAACCUUCCACCAGUAUCUGCAGAUAACAACGUUUAUGGUCAGUAAAACAAUGACGUCACAACGAGCAGAAGUGGAUUGAAGGAAGUAGAUGAUCUAGCCCAUCUGAUCUUGGGGAGGCCAGUGAAGGGGCUAGUGCGGUCUGGGAUUCUGGGAUUCUAGUUCCUGUUACAGUUCCGUUGUCAUAGGCACGAGUGACUCCCCCAAAUAAUGACUCCCGGUCACUCCUAUACCUAUAGUCACCAUGUACCAGUGACCCCUGGUCACUCAUGCCUAGGAGUACCCCCCUGGAAAAAAUGACUCCCCCCAAAUUUAACUUGAGAGAGAUUUCAGCGGAGGCGCUAGGGCUACUAAGUUUUUUUUUUUUUUUUUUAUUGAAAAUAAUAGCAUAUAAGGUAGUGUAUAUACAGGGGAAUGGGCUUCUAUGUAGACACAAUGAAAGGUGGAGGGUACAGAAAAUAAAGAGGAUUAAGCUUUCCUUGACUGGCUGAGGAUUGUGGGAUUUUUUUAUCUCUCCAAAAAGAAGUACAGCCUGUUUGAGAUUGAAGACAAGUACAGUGGUAUGUUAAGUGUUUUUUAAAUGUAGCAACUUUGUGAUUGACUCUCCAUGGUAGUAUUUGCUGACAAAUUUAUUAUCACACUCAUGACUUUCACUUGUGGGAUUUUGUGGAAGUGUAGGUGUUGAAGUAGCAAAUGUAUAUAGGCUAGAAGUGACCCUUUAAUGUUACUACAUGCUAUUGUACACUUUAUUUGUAGUUAUACGAAUGGAUCGGCAAGUUUUUUGGGGAAGAGUUAUGAGAGAAUAAACGACGGAAGUGUCAGUUGUGGAAGACCCAAGAGUUUACAUCGGCAGACUGUAGCACGUUCACUGAACCACUAUAUACCAAAGAGGACGUUCAAGAAAAUUGCAUCAUUAUUUCUGUCUUUACAUCACGAGUAGACAUACAAUAAUUAUGUUAAAUUGUUUGUAUAAUGAAUUGUUUAUGAUCUAGAUCUAUAAAAGAGAAGUUAACAUGUUCUUGAACUUCUAUUAACACUGUGUCUGAUCCCACUGUAAACUAUUUCAUACAAUGGCGAAAACUCCUCUAAUACUAACUUCUGAAACACGAAUGGAAGCUAGUAGCCUAACUUGAUCCUAGUAGCCUUCCUGCCUGUCUCAUGUCUCUUUCUGGCUAGUCAGUAGUAGCCUUCCUGCCUGUCUUUUAGGCUGUUAAAGAUUAAAAUACUAAAAUUAUCAUAGGACAAAGGUCAAUUUCUAGUGACGGAGGCAGGAAAGGAAGAAAUUUAACCGUGACACACAUGGGCCGGGCAUUUACGUAUGCGUUUCCAAUCCCUCUCCUCUACUAUCUAUGGCAAGGUAUAUAGCCUCGUUCCCAGGCCUUACUUUUUCUUGCUGUUGUCACUGUUCAUCCAUAAAUCACAAGAAAGACAUAGUGAGGCAGCAAAGAAAGAAAUGGGCGUACAGUUAAGAAAAGUAAGGCCUGGUUUGGGAAAUCGCGUGAUCCACAAGGAUUUUUAUGAACGUGGGCGAUAUGUAGCCCACAAUCAUGACGUAAGGUAUUCUCCCACGCAUUCAGAGUUAAUAAAACUGUACUGAGACAACCACCCAAGCUGUGCUGCAAGUCAGAUCAGAGAACCAGUGUGGCCAGCAUGUACGACUGGCAUGGUUCAGACAUCAGAUCUACCUACGUAACGGUACUUACAUGUACUGUCCUACAGUCCCACAGUCUCAAACAAUUUACCUAUGUGUGGCUAUACUGGCAAUACAUUCAAUGAUUUCACAAUCCGGUGGGCAAGUGAUAGUCAAUGGACUGGACUCAAUGUCAACAUCUACAUGUGAAGAAAGCAAUUCCCAUUACCAUUCUCACAAGCAAUGCCUAGUGAAAGCUGAUGCUACCUUUAAUGAAGAAAGCUCACUGUGCCAUCUGAAGCGAUGGUAAAAUUUAAUUCUUACAAUGUGUCCGACAACCUGUACUGUGUGGAGGUGCCACUAUAAUUAUAUAUUUGAUAACUAAAUACUUAGUCACCUACUAGCUUCUUGGCUGAUAUCAUUCAUUACUUUUGUGCAUUUAUAUAAUUAUUAUUAUUAUAACAAUGUCAUAAUUAUUGUGAUGAAAAUUAAUGCCAUGGUGAUGAUCGUAACCAUAAAUAUAUUAUUAUUCUAUUUCUUAUUUCUUCAUUUCCUCAUUUCCUAUUUCUUAUUUCCUCAUUUCCUCAUUUCUUAUUUCUCAUUUCCUCAUUUCUCAUUCCCUGUUUUAUAACCCCUCAUUUUCACCCUUCUACCACCCUUCUACCCUCACGCGACUUCUACGUCUAUUUCUUUCUUUAU